UACGAAGGGGGCUAGCGUUGCUCGGAAUCACUGGGCGUAAAGCGCACGUAGGCGGCUUCUUAAGUCGAGGGUGAAAUCCUGGAGCUCAACUCCAGAACUGCCUUUGAUACUGGGGAUCUCGAGUCCGGGAGAGGUGAGUGGAACUGCGAGUGUAGAGGUGAAAUUCGUAGAUAUUCGCAAGAACACCAGUGGCGAAGGCGGCUCACUGGCCCGGUACUGACGCUGAGGUGCGAAAGCGUGGGGAGCAAACAGG
rnacentral:rRNA from 1 species